rnacentral:rRNA from 1 species
CAGUCGCCGCGGUAAUACGUAGGUGGCAAGCGUUGUCCGGAAUUAUUGGGCGUAAAGGGCUCGCAGGCGGUUUCUUAAGUCUGAUGUGAAAGCCCCCGGCUCAACCGGGGAGGGUCAUUGGAAACUGGGAAACUUGAGUGCAGAAGAGGAGAGUGGAAUUCCACGUGUAGCGGUGAAAUGCGUAGAGAUGUGGAGGUACACCAGUGGCGAAGGCGACUCUCUGGUCUGUAACUGACGCUGAGGAGCGAAAGCGUAGGGAGCGAACAGGAUUAGAUACCCCAGUAGUCCCUGUCUCUUAUAA